rnacentral:rRNA from 1 species
AGGACGAACGCUGGCGGCGUGCCUAACACAUGCAAGUUGAGCGACGAACCAGGGCUUGCCCUGGGGCAAAGCAGCGAACGGGUGAGUAACACGUGGGUAACGUGCCCCGAUAACCGGGACAACCCGAGGAAACUCGGGCUAAUACCGGAUGUGCCCAUCAGACAUCAGUCUGAUGUGUAAAGGAAGCUUCGGCCUCCGUAUCGGGAGCGGCCCGCGGCCCAUUAGCUAGUUGGUGAGGUAACGGCUCACCAAGGCAACGAUGGGUAGCUGGUCUGAGAGGACGAUCAGCCACACUGGGACUGAGACACGGCCCAGACUCCUACGGGAGGCAGGCAGUGGGGAAUCUUGCGCAAUGACGCGAAAGCGUGACGCAGCAACGCCGCGUGGGGAAGAAGGCCUUCGGUGUAACCCUUUCAGGAGGACGAAGGUGCGACGGUAGAAUAGCCGUUCGUACUGACGGUACCUACACAAGAACGCCCGCUAACUACGUGCCAGCAGCCG